CCCUGCCAUUUGUACACACCGCCCGUCGCUACUACCGAUUGAAUGGCUUAGUGAGGCCUCUGGAGGGGUGUUGGCUUGAAAGGGCUGAUGAUCUGAAACUGGACAAACUUGGUCAUUUAGAGGAAGUA
rnacentral:rRNA from 1 species